rnacentral:misc_RNA from 1 species
UACGGAGGGUGCAAGCGUUGUCCGGAUUUAUUGGGUUUAAAGGGUGCGUAGGCGGCUCUUUAAGUCAGUGGUGAAAGUCUGCGGCUUAACCGUAGGAUUGCCAUUGAUACUGAAGAGCUUGAGUAUAGUUGAGGUAGGCGGAAUUGACAGUGUAGCGGUGAAAUGCAUAGAUAUUGUCAAGAACACCGAUUGCGUAGGCAGCUUACUAAGCUAUAACUGACGCUGAGGCACGAAAGUGUGGGGAUCAAACAGG